rnacentral:rRNA from 1 species
GACGCACGCUGGCGGCGUGCCUAAUACCUGCAAGUAGGCCGCAGUUGCGAACGGGUGAGUAACGCGUAGGUAACUACCUAUUAGAGGGGGAUAACUAUUGGAACCGAUAGCUAAUACCGCAUACUAGUAGAUGGAACGACGUUGUAUUAGCUAGUAGGUAGGGUAAUGGCCUACCUAGGCAACGAUACAUAGCCGACCGUAGCGGGUUAUCGGCCACACUGGGACUGAGACACGUCCCAGACUCCUACGGGAGGCAGCAGUAGGGAAGUUUCGGCAAUGGGGGGAACCCUGACCGAGCAACGCCGCGUGAGUGAAGAAGGUUUUCGGAUCGUAAAGCUCUGUUGUUAAGGAAGCGGUACUUAACCAGAAAGGGACGGCUAACUACGUGCCAGCAGCCGCGGUAAUAC